UUUCUUUGCCGUUUGUAUUUUGUCUCCAGCUUUGCUUUGGGAUUUUUUCCUUUGCUCUGCUGUCUAAGAAGUGCUGAAUCCCAGCCUGACCCACUGACGGAGCAGCUGAGGAAAGGAGCUGCUCAGCCCUGGAGCGCAGCUGAAGGCAAUGGAGCUCCGUGGCUGGAAGGGGCGCAGCCUGGCUGCCCCUCGUGGAGCUCAGGUCAGGGCUGGCUGGGAGCAGGGAAGGGUUUCUUUCUGGAAGGUUCUCUGCUGUGGAGUUGGUUCUGUCGGUGACUCCUUGGCGAUGGAAAGCAGAGCGGAGGGAGCGUCUGUGGUGAGAUGCCCAGGUGAAAUUGCCUUCCCUGCACCAGCAGCCUGUGUGUGUCCACGUGAUGCAUGGAGAAGAGAAGCCUGCAGUUCUUGACCACGGCCAUCCCCUGAAGCUCCAGUCAUGAAGACCCUGCACAUCAUGGCUGAUGGCCGUCUGUCUGCGCUGCCCAUGGCUGUGAUGGGUGCAGCUACCUCAUGUCCCCUCAACCUGCCAGGCAUCCAAGCUUCUCCUCCUCCACCAGCUCUCCACUGACUCCCACACCUUUGCCACCUCCCGUGUCGUGUGGUGGCAAUGCAUGGUGCUGGGGCGGGCCCAAACUCCCACCCUGACAGCAGGCACGUUUCCAAAAACUCUGCUCACUUCCUCAUCCUGCUGGCUCGUGAGCAGAUCCUGUUGUCAGCUCUGCCGACCGGCACAGCAGAGGUGGGAUUGUUACAGCAGCCUGGAAAACAGCAGGGGAAAAACCAUUUCCCCCUUUGGCUGUUAUUUGCUGAGAAAUGCUGUCUGGUGAGUGUUGAGUCAGGGCCUGAACCACCAGCCCAGAUGGAGCAUCUGGGGAAAGGACCCAGUCGGCCCUGGGAGCGCAGGUGAGGGCAGUUCAGUUGUAUGAUGGAAUGAGGGGAGCCUGGCUGCAGCUCUCUUAGACCUCACUGAAGGGCUGACCCUGCACUGGGCAAGGAUCUCUGGCUGGAGAUCCCUGCCCUGUGGAGUUUUCCCUGUGAGCCUGGAUCUUCAGGGACAGGUGAGCACUUUCCCUUUUCUUUGUAACACCCUUCUGUUGUGCCAGUCCCUUUGUGGUUACACCUGCUCCCACUGCACUGAUCAUUCUGAUUGUUACAGAUGUCCUCUGCCCCUUCCCACCUGUAAAGCAAACAAGGCGAUGACAGAGCCUUUAUUUGAGAUAGAGGAGCUAUAGAACAGGAUAUCACAGAAAGAGGAAUCGACUCAUCCCUCCCAGGAACAGUUUGGCAGAAAGCGGUGAGCUGAGGAAUGCAGCCUUCUGCGUUUGAACUGCGGUGUGCUGAAAGGUGAAAGGGGGCUGAGGGGUGUGGGGAGGAGAGCUGUGCAGGCUGACUGUGUGUGUGCUGCUGGGAGCACUGCUGAGAUGGAGAGAGAGGAAGGCUCCCCGCUCGAGGUACUCGUGUGCUCACGCAGUGGUUCAGGCUGUGACCUGGCAGUUCCACUGCACCACCCGUCCUGCACUGUCCAUGUGCCACCUGCAGGUGUUGCCCAGCUUUUGGGGGACUCGCUGUGACCUCCCUGUCUCCCCUCUGCCUUGUGCACUGGGCUUCACAGCAUCCUGAUGGUGAGCAGUGGUCCUGUGGAGAUGCUGAGCAACGAUUGUGAGCUGCGCCCUUUUCCUGGACCGGUACCCAAGCCCUUCUCAGCGCAGAGCCUGUCUCUCUUUCCCUGGGGUUCCGUGGAUCAGUCAGCAAGAUGGGACUUUGCCAGCCAGCUGGUUUCAGCUUCACCACCCCAAUGACAGCAGGGCAGUCCUGCAGCUCAUGGCAGCCCUACGGCUCUGCUCCUUUGCCAGGCUGGAGAGCUGAAUCAGCUGCGAUUCUGCAGAUCCUUCCCUGAGUCCUGCUGCUGACCACUGAUACUUGUGCAUGCUCUGGGCCGCAUCAGGACUGGAAAGAGGAGUAGCUAUCAGGCGGAAGGAUCUGGCCUUCUGCUGGGUGACAGCCACC